UACGGAAUGAGUAGAGAAAUUCGGCUUU
rnacentral:piRNA from 1 species